rnacentral:lncRNA from 1 species
AGGAAAUCCCUCUGUCAUCUGCCGCUGUUUGGGGCCAAAAGCUUGAACUGUGAUGAAUUUUGUGAAAGGGAGAACUGCCUCAUUCUGCCAAAGCCGUUCAGAAGUGAGUCACUAGCCCAGAACAGGCCCCACAUAGCUGCACCAGCUCAGACUCCAUCUAGCUGCACCUGCAGGAGCUAAGGCUCGAGGUGGACAUCGGGCCUGGGCCCCAGGGCAGAGUCAUGACCAACAGGGGGCAGCCCAGGGAGCUACUCCCCAGCCUUCAGUGGGCCCCACUUCCCUUCCCUCCUCCCCUCCCUGAAGGCCCCUCCCAGACCGCUUGGCCUCCGGCCUUGCCUCCUCCAACCUGAUCUCCUGGGGUUGCUCAAGGGUCUCCUCUAAAAAGCAAAUCCGGUCUUGUCUUUCCCCUGCCUGCCGCAUUCCGUGGCUCCUCACUGCUCUCAGGAGAAAGACCAAAGUCCCUGUGUGCUCCCAAGCCCUCUCCUGAUGAUGCAGAGGCGUGGCCCAUAGGGACUGAGAGCUGCUCACUUCAGGCAGAAGCCAGGCAUCCUGGCAGCCCCUGAGAGCCGCCCAGCUGGCCAGAAGGACCUGCUCCCAGGCCUCCCUUUCCCUGUAAUUCAUAUAUAGAAAGCAUCUAAAUCAGGAGCCAACCCUCCACCAGAGGGAGCGGCGCCCUGGAGGUGGAAGUGGAGCUUUUCUUAGUCAUUACAUUUGGUUUUGUUUUGGGGGAAAAAAACAAAAUGAAACAAUUAAGGUCUUAUUUUCACAAUCACCUGUGGAAUGAGGAGGCUUCCAGAUGGUAUUUGGUGAGAGCACCAGGAACCUUGUGGUCCUGUGAGGGCAUUCAGGGGUAGGGAGUCUAACUCAUCACCCAAUCCUCAUGGCUCCAACUUUAAACACACCCAGAAGCCUAUCUCGUCCCCCAGCCCAGCUCCGUCGCCUGCACCUGGUCCAAGCUGAGGCCCCUCUGCCCCAGCCUCCUGGUUGCCCCACUGUUUCUGCCCUGGGCCUGCUCCAGUCCCUUCUCACGGACAGCCAGAGCCAAGCCUCUGCUCCAGUAAGGGAUCUCUCCAAAGGCUCCUGUCUCCCUCCGGGUAAGGCCAGGGUCCUAAUCACGGCCCACAGAGGCCGACACCACCGCCUCUGACCUCCCUCCCUCUGUCUCCAGCUUUCCUGGGAUCCCGCCUGGGAUCCCCUCUGCCCAGCACUCAGACCUCCUGCACCAGCUGUUCCCCUGCCUGGAACAUUCUCCACUCCCCCCAGGUCCACAGGGUCUGAGCCUCAUGUCCUACAGAUGUCACUCAAAGGGUGGCCCUUCACUGGCUUCCCUGAUGGCACCACUUCCUGCCCACUGGUCCUUCUCCCCCUCCCUCACUCUGCCUCAUCUAGCCCUGGACACUCCACCAAUCUGAUACAUCUUUAUUUCUCUGUUUAUUGUCUAGUUUCCCUCCAUGCCCACCAGGAUGUAAGCUCUGAGAGCAGGGGCUUUGUUUCAUUCGCUGCCAUAAUUCCAGUACCAAGAACAAUGCCUGGCACCUCCUAGUAGGUGCUCAAUAAAUAUUUAUUGAAUGAAUGAAUGAUUGAAUUAUGUCUGUCAUUGACAGAGGGAAGUCUGGGCAACAUAGUGAGACCCCAUCUCUACCAAAACUAAAUAAUUAGCCAGGUGUGGUGGUGCAUGCCUGUAAUCCCAGCUACUCCAGAGGCUGAUACAGGAGGAUUGCUUGGUCCCAGGAGGUAGAGGCCACAGUGAGCCAUGAUCACACUGCUGCACUCCAGCCUAGGCAACAGAGAGAGAUAUAGUCUCAAAAAAAAAAAAAAAAAAAGGAAAAGAAAAAAAGAAAAGAAAAUACAUAGGGGUGGGCAGAUUUCCCCUAAGAUGCUCUAAGGAUGCCCUCUCUAGGUGCAGGAGUCAGUCUAAAGUUACCUCCUGGGGGAAGUCUUCUGUCCAGUUUUUAAAUGGAAGUUCUAGCUGCAGGCAGCAAGUCUCAUCACUGAAUAGAACCGGUUUUCAUUUGGUGCAAACACUAUCUCCUCCAGGAAGCCCUCCCAGGACCCUUCCCAGCCCCUAGUGAAAGUGCCUCCCUCCUGCUAGCCUGCCACUUUCUCCCUUGUGGUCCAUUCUGGAUGUCAGUGCCGGGCCAGUGAGCAUCCUAGCGGGCGCCUGAGUCAUACCCGGAGUGCACCUGGAGAGCCCCUUUCUGCUCACACUUUACAGGGCCCCAUGCUGGCCUCAGACACGCCCAUCUUCUCAUUUAAGCCUUACAACAACCUUCCGAGGUAGUCAUCACCAUCCCCAUCUUACAGAUAAGGAAACUGCGGUCAGAGGCCACAGAGGUGACUUACCCGAGCCCCACACCUGGUGUCACAGUGGAGUGGAGCCUGGCUCCUUGGCCCUGAGUUCAGCCCCCAUCACAGCUGCCGAAUUCACAGUCAGUGCUCAACACGUGUUCACGUGUUUGGAGGACGAACCAAACCCGAGUUCUCGGGGCUCCCCAGCCAGCAUGAAGACCGUGUAACCACAGCACGCAUGGGCGGGCCGCUUGGCAAUGGCCAGGCUCAUGCUCUACUGAGCCCCUGGGGGUCACGACUCCCCUGCUGCUCUGUGCAGAGAAAGAAAAGGCAGUCACCUCUCUCUUCCCUCACUGGAAGGUGAGGCCCAGGGGGUCCGGCCUGUGGGAUGUGAAGAAGCCACACAUUGGUGCCCAUCACCUGGUCCUCAGCCUCUCCUUAGGGCAGAGUCGAGGCCCAGAAGGUUGAAAGAGCUGGAAGCUGGGGAAGAGCCUGCACCAGUGCCUUUGCCUCUUAUCACUCUCCUGACUUUUAAAAUGUAUACCAAAAAAAAGUCAUUUUGAAGCUGUCCAGUUAAGUGAGCUGUAAACUGGAUUUACAAUAUUGCCAAACCUGGUGAGCAGGAAGUACAGGAUCGUUUUGAAUUCAGCAGAUUUUGAAUAAUGCCAGAUCAGGAGUGGAUCUCUGGGGUAAGAUGCAAUGGUCCCACACACUUAUAUGUCACCAGAGUCCACUCUUUGGGGAACAGCAAUUUGACGGAACAUGUCAAGAGCUUGUGAAAAUAAGUAAUUCACAUUCGACCUGUUACCCAGAAAAAAACCGGGGUUCAUUCACCUGGUGAAUCUCAAACGGCUCUCCACGAGAACGCAGGUUUGGAUCAGUAGGAGUUUUAUGACUCGCCACAGGUAAGAAGAGCCCUGGGAGGAUUCUCCAAAGCAGUGUCUCCCUGAGGGAAAGUGACAGGAGGGUUUUAUGCAGUGAUGGAGGGGACGAGGGGCCCCGCUGCUGCAGACGCAGGGCACCAUCAUGCCAGCCCACAGGUUGCCUGUGAUGGUGAUGAAGGUGUAGCUCCUCCUGAGGUGGAGCUCAUGGUCAGCAUGGUCAUGAGGAAUGUGUACUCAGGUUCAUCUAGAACAGGGGUGUCCAAUCUUUUGGCUUCCCUGGGCCACACUAGAAGAAGAAUUGUCUUGAGCCACACAUAAAAUACACUAAUACUAACUGUAUCUAAUGAGCUAAAAAAAUCGCAAAAACAAAUCUCAUCAUGUUCAAAGAAGGUUUAUGAAUUUGUGUUGGGUCACAUUCAAAGCCGUCCUGGGCCGCCGGUUGGACAAGCUUGAUCUAGAAGUUGCCUGGGUCUGUCAGGAGCUGGUGCCAGCAACUAGGUGACCACAUUCAACACAGGGUUUGGGAAAAAACAAGCUGCAAAGCAGGAGGCUGUCAAACAGGCUUAUUGUGCCAGUUGACUAAAUGCCUAUAGUCCCUGGAGACCCUCCCUGUCUGCUUACAAACCUGUUGGAAUUUUAUUUGGAGCCUUAAAGGAAAUGUGACUGUGGGACCUGAGUCACAUAACAGGCAGCCACAACCUCUGUUUCUCUGAUUAUAGAUCAACUUUUUCCAUACCUACAUUCUUUUGUAAAAUGUCGUAAAAGACUAAAGGGCACUGGAGGAAAGACCCCUUUUUCCUCAUUACUGACUCUCCUUGUAGGUUAACUUCCUUCUUUCCUCUCUUGUACCUGACUCCGACCAGAUAGCACAAUAGGCUCUGUGACAAUCAAUUUACUCAAGAUAGAUGUUGACUAUACCUUUCCUGACAAAGAACAAGCUGCAACCAAUCAGAUUGCUGUAAUUCAUAGAUCAGCCUCGUAUGGAAAAGGCUGCUAAACUUUAGUAAUCCUGCUAAACUUCUUUGUUUCUACCUAUGCAAGUAAAACCUUAACUUCUCCAUUUCAGAGCAUUGAUUCCAUUCCUCUGGAGUCUGUGUCUCCCGGACAGUCAUCCUUAAACUUUGCACUUGCAUUAACUCUUUUUUUUUUUUUUUUUUUUGAGAUGGAGUCUUGCUCUGUUGCCCAGGCUGGAAUGUAGUUGUGCAAUCUCAGCUCACUGCAAACUCCACCUCCCAGGUUCAACCAAUUCUCCUGCCUCAGCCUCUUGAAUAGCUGGGAUUACAGGCGUCGUGCCACCAGGCCUGGUUAGUUUUUGUAUUUUUAGUAGAGACAGAGGUUCACCAUGUUGGCUGGGCUCGUCUCGAACUCCUGACCUCAGGUGAUCCACCAUCCCACCCCGCCGCGGCUUCCCAAAGUGUUGGGAUUACAGGCAUGAGCCACUUUGCCCAGCCGCAUGAACUCUUUAGAACAGUAUUCUGAUCCUUUUGAUUAUCAGGUUGAAAAGCCAUAGAAACAAUUUAUAUGCUUUAACCAAUUAUUUCCUCUGGGAUUUAUCCCAGAGAAAUAAUUUUUUUAAAGCAAACCAAAAAUAUAAGUGUUGGGGUACAGAAAAUGAUUCCCCAAAAUGUGGCACUUGGGCAUGCUGAGUGCUUUUGAAAACUGAAAGGCCUCACAAAUAAGCCUCAGCAUCAAGGCCUCUCUAACCUUGUCUCGUUCUCUCCCUCUCACCCCUCAAGUCCUUGGAGGGACUCUCUGGAAUUUCCUUAUCUGACCUAGAAAGUGUCUUGCCAAAAGAAACACAUUUGCCUUCUGUCCGUCUGAUACCCCAUUAUCCACUGCAGAAAAGAAGCCGGAAGAAAAGAAGUCAGAAGUCCAACCACAGCUGGAUGGACUUUUCCACAACAUAAUGUCUGCCUCUCAGACUCAUUCCAUUCACAAGUUGAUUUCUGUCUCCCUGAUCCAUUCAUUCUCCUUAAUAAUCAUUUACUGCUCCUCAAAACAAUGCUCUAUGUUUCCCAUCUCCUCGCUCCCCUGGGAAAAAGAGUACAUAAGCUUCUGUACCCCAUUGGGGGAUUGGGGUAAUCACACUGUAAUUCUCUCCCAUGAAUGUUAAUAAAUGUGUAUCCUUUUUCUCCUACUAAUCUGCCUUUUGUCAGGUGAUUUUCAGUGAACCUUCAGAAGGAAAAGGGGAAGUUUUCCCUUCACCCAUAUGCAGGCAUGUAAAGAUGUUCAUUGCAGUGCUGUUUAUAGCAGAGAAAAUGGCAAACACAAUCAAACAAUAGGGGGAUAGUUAAGAAAAAAAUGCACAGUUGCAGUUAGACUGGUCUCUACCGGCAGGGAGGUUUUUUUUCACCCUUUUUGAUUCUCACAGCAGCCCUAUGAUGUAGACAAAACCGGGUUCACAUUUAUUCUCCCCAUUAUUCAUGGGGGUGGGGGCCAGGAUGCAGACUGAGUUUUGAGAAAUUCUGGGCAGAGCUUCCAACAGGGAAUCAGAUUCUGAACUGGGACAGCUCCCAGGUGUCCUAAAGCGGAAUCCAGAGCUGACUCACAGCAGCGUGUGUCUGACAGGGGGAUCCAGCGGCAAGUCCCUACUCUUGGAUAAAGAUGAAACCACCUUUGCGAAAAUUAUGACAGAGGCCGGGCACGGUGGCUCACACCUGUUAUCCCAGCACUUUGGGAGGCCAAGGCAG